UAAGGAUCUCGGCUGCCGCUGUAUCAGCACCUCGCACACGAGAACGGAUCAAUCCUGGAAAAGUGUAGAGAAGAGAGCUGGUAGCAUAAAAAGGGACAGUGGAAAAGAAAAAGGAUGGAACUAUUUAAGUCGAUACGGCCCCCAACACUGAGCCUGAACCCAGACUGCAUCUUUCUGGAUCAAGAAUAUGGGAUAGGAAUAGGAAGCUCGGCUUUAUAGUAGUUCUGCUCCUAAUUGCUGGAAAAUUCCAGCUGAUUGCUGUUCCUCCCCCAUGUGCUUCCCUGUGGAAUACAACAGACUUCUAUCCUUUCCAUCAUACUUCUUCACAGUGAAACCACUGGGAGAAGUCGUGCUGAGUUUUGGAGCGGAUUUUUAUCAGUAUACUGAUGGUGCCUAGCUCUAUUUAUCUUUUCCACCUGAAUAAAUUGUGGUGCUUUUUUUGCAAUUGAAUCACUGCCUGAGGUUUGUAAUGGGCUGAAAUGCGAGUGAAUAUAUUGAAACUCAACUCAGACAAGACAGAACUUCUUGCUGGCGAUGGCUCUUCAUCAGAUGGUGAUGAAACUAGAUAUAGGAAAGGGACUUGGUUGGUUCAGAGGAGGAGGCCGCUGUAUGCCCCCCAACACCCACAAGUGUUAAUUUGUGCUACCAUUGGGUCCUUCUAAAAGUGAACGAUUCUUGCAAAAUCUGCCAUACGCACCUUCUCGCCGACUGUUGCGAAGACACUUGACCUUUGGUAUCUUGGUAAGGAGCUGGCAAUCCUCAGCUGAAGAGAAGAGAAAACAGUUGGCGCCAGCGCCUAGUUUGUUUGGCAUCGACAUAAAGCUGCAAUUAACUCUCCCUAUGUGCCUCAACAGAGGGCAAAGCUUUGCUUUCAUUUACGAUAUUAAUCAAUUUGUUGAUCCCAAAAUAAAUGGCUUUAAUCCCAUCGCCUCAA